ensembl:snRNA U4 U4 spliceosomal RNA
AGCUUUGCGCAGUGGCAGUAUCGUAGCCAAUGAGGUUUAUCCGAGGCGCGAUUAUUGCUAAUUGAAAACUUUUGUAUUGAGGAGGGCACCUUUUGGGAUGAGCACUGGGUGUUGUAUGGAAACCAAUUUGUCAAUAAAUUUCAUAUAU